GGAGCGGAGCGGGCGCCCCUUCGCCCCGCCCACCGCCGUUGCCAUGGCGGCGGCGAGGUCUGCUCGGGGAGGCCAGGGACGGCUCGCCCCGUGACCCCUCACGUUCAGGGGAUGGCUGAGGUUGGAAGGGACCUCUGGAGGUCAUCGAGUCCGCCCUCCUGCUCCCCUAGAGCGCGCUGCCCGAAAGUGUGUCCAGGGAAGGAGAUUCCAUGACCCUCUGGGCAGCCUCUGCCGUCCCCCCCCAGACUGAGGCCUGAAAGAGAGCCCUUCCCAAGUGGCGCUGCCCACUUCUGCGUUUCGUUCCUCCAAAUAAAGCAGUGUGAUCCCCUGGGCUACCUCUUGACGGCCUGCUGCUCCUGUGUUCGCCGGCCAAAAGGCACCAGAAAGCAGGAGCGUGCCCUGCCUGGGACGAAGCGCCAGAUACUGAGAAUGAAAAGAACACGAAGCAUUCAGCUUUCUGAAGCAUUCAGCCAUCCGAAUAUACAUGAGCUAACCAGCACAACGCAGAUAUAAUGGAAGGACUUCCUGGUCAUUCUGGAGCAUUAGCAGCUGGGUAUGAAUUAGUACCUGGGUAUGAAUUGCACGCGUGCAGUAAAUCAAAUGCUGAAAGCUCCCUUUUUCUGUCCUCUAAGCCACCAGUCAUUGAUGCAGACUGAUAAAGGAGGGACUCUCUACAUGCAGGAGGUCACUCAUCCCAAACGUGCAGCAGGAAGAUGCUGGAGCUGCCUCAUCAGUGCCACUUCCAUGUUGUGUUUGAUCUCAGGAGAAGGACUGCAUGGAUGAAUUCGUGCAACAACCCUACCAGCCAUAGAAGAAUGUAUCUUACAAGACAAUCCACUGGUGACUUGUAAUAGAUUGGCUAUCCCUCACCCACAGGGGUAAGCAUUCUUUUGAGAUCUGCGAGAAUCUUUUUGGUAUACCUGGAAAUAAGUCUAAUUAUUAAAAUUUCUGAAGACAGAGUUUAGAAUCCACCUUCUGUGGACUAAAGAAUCUGUUUAGUGCUUGUUUCUCAUCUUGGCUGUUCUACUAUAGUGAGCUUUACCACUUGAAUUCACUGAUGAAUGUUUUAAGCUGAAUGAAGCCUCUAUUUAUUUCAUUUUUUUCAAAAUCUGUUACCAAAGUUCAGAGUAUUCUGCAGUUCAAAGACGGUUCCUUGCUUCUUCGAAGAUUUUAUUAAAUGGAUCUAUACCAUCCUC